rnacentral:rRNA from 1 species
UACGUAGGGUGCGAGCGUUAAUCGGAAUUACUGGGCGUAAAGGGUGCGCAGGCGGUCUUGUAAGUCAGAUGUGAAAUCCCCGGGCUCAACCUGGGAACUGCGUUUGAAACUACAAGACUAGAGUGUAGCAGAGGGGGGUGGAAUUCCACGUGUAGCAGUGAAAUGCGUAGAGAUGUGGAAGAACACCGAUGGCGAAGGCAGCCCCCUGGGUUAACACUGACGCUCAGGCACGAAAGCGUGGGGAGCAAACAGGAUUAGAUACCCUGGUAGUCCACGCCCUAAACGAUGUCAACUAGUUGUCGGAUCUUUAUAGAUUUGGUAACGUAGCUAACGCGUGAAGUUGACCGCCUGGGG